GGGUGUGAGGGCUAUCUGGUUGCGAUAUCUAUCAUCCCACUGAUCAUCAGUUUCGAUUCAGUUUAUCUGGCUGCCUAGGCCGGUGCCCUCUUCUUUGCUCAUGGCUCCAUGUCCGUCCCUUCCGAAGAUGUCGCUUGGUCUAAGAGGACGACCAUCCUCGAUAGAAGAGGGACUUCUUUGGUCAAAGAUAUACAAAUAGCUGCACUCCCCUGCUAGAACCUCCAAACAAGCUAUCAAGGUCCACUGUAAGAGAACGUAGGGUAGUCAAGCUUCCAAGACUCCAUACACGUCCAAAUGAGACAUCGCAUCACAUGGCAGUCUGCCUUU
ensembl:misc_RNA 7SK 7SK RNA